rnacentral:rRNA from 1 species
AUUGAACGCUGGCGGCAGGCUUAACACAUGCAAGUCGAACGGAAGAGCGGUGCUUGUUCCUGGUUCUAGCGGCGCACGGGUGAGUAAUGCAUAGGAAUCUGCCUGGUAGUGGGGGAUAACGUCUGGAAACGGGCGCUAAUACCGCCUACGACCUGAGGGUGCAAGUGGGGGAUCGUAGGACCUCACGCUAUCUGAUGAGCCUAGGUCGGAUUAGCUAGUUGGUGGGGUAAAGGCCUACCAAGGCGACGAUCCGUAACUGGUCUGAGAGGAUGAUCAGCCACACUGGAACGGAGACACGGUCCAGACUCCUACGGGAGGCAGCAGUGGGGAAUGUUGGACAAUGGGCGAAAGCCUGAUCCAGCCAUGCCGCGUGUGUGAAGAAGGUCUUCGGAUUGUAAAGCACUUUUGGUGGGGAGGAAGUGCUGUAGGUUAAUACCUUGCGGUGUUGACGGUACCGGCAGAAUAAGCACCGGCUAACUACGUG